CCCUGGGGUUGCCUAGUCUUCUCAGAACCUUGUUUUCACACACAUGAAGGAGUGCAACCACACCACCCACAGACUUCAAAAUUUACACUGGCUCGUCAUUCAGUUAAGGAUCUUUCCUAAAUUGCCUUCCUUGUUAUUUUGAAUUUUCUCCCUGACCUUCCUCCAGUUCCCUGAAAUGGCUUCACCUCUGUCAGCUUCUCCCUCACUCUGUGGCUUCAGUAUCAACCAUCAAGUCCUGGAGAGGACUGGCUUCCUGUUCCACCAAUAAAUCCCUGUCAGCUGAGGCGGGUGCAUAGCGAGAACUCUCCUUGCUGCCUUUUUUCCCAGCCCAAUUCUUCCUGCUCAUCCCUACCAAAUUCUUUUUCUCCCAGAGAGGUUUUUAUGACAUCCUUGCUCCAAAUCCAUUUACAAGAUUCAGUCCAAAAUCAUCAGCUGGAUAUAAUGGACCCCCCACAAUCUGGCAUCUUAAACCUUAUCUACUGCAAUUGCUCUUGCACCUUGAUUCCAGUUAGCAAUGCCUGUUCUCUAUUUUAAACAAUGACUAAUUUAUCCAACUCUAUUCAUUUGCUCAAACUAUUUUCUUGCCUACAAUAGCCUCCCAACAUUUUUCCACUCAAUAGUUUCACUCUUGUCGCCCAGGCUGGAGUGCAAUGGUGCGAUCUUGGCUCACUGCAACCUCCGCCUCCCAGGUUCAAGCAACUCUCCUGCCUCAGUCUCCCGAGUAGCUGGGAUUACAGGUUAUCAUGAGAGUGAGCCAAGGAGGAACAACUAGAGGAUGGAGUGGAGGAUCAGACAAAGCUUACCCAAGAAGUAAGAUAAAGGCUGAGAAGCUGAGGCUUGAGAAGACUUUAGGCAGGGUAAUAGUAAAAGAAGGAUCAUUCCUGGGACAAAGAACAUAAUGGUGCAAAGGUCUUUACCUAAGAAGCAUCAGUACAAGUACUAGGGACAGAGGGGGUAGAAGUGAGACAGAGAGUGGCUGGACAAAACAGGGUUCCAUCAAGCCAGGCCUCACUGGGCCAUCUUAACCUAAAAAUGCAGCUGAGGCCUGGAAGAGCCAUGUAAGCUGGAACAUCUAAAAAAGCUUUUUCCCUCCAUUCAUUUAAGAGGCUUAAGUCAUUUGGAAAAAACAUGUAUCCUAAAAUAUCAAUAAAUUAUAUGCAACUUCUCUCCCUUUAUACUGGAAGUCCUAGAUCUACAGAUAUAAUCUAAGUAUCUGUGCUUAAAUCAUUGAAAGCACAUUUAUAGAACACUAUUUUUAGAAAACUAAAUAUUCUCUCUUAACUAUAGUAUAAGUUUGUGGCUAUUACCUCUAGCAAAUCUUGAGAAACGUAGGAAGAAGGUCAUAGAAGUUUUCAAAUGCAACAAAAUGCAUUUCAACAAAAUACUGAAGUUUGAGUAAAAUACAAGACAGAAAAAUUUAAUCAUACUAAUGGAGUCGAUAAUGAGUUUUCUGCUGUAAUAUCUGAAAGCACACUUUAGUCUAAAAUAAAGAACGUUACUUUUUUCCACUUAUUGAAGUUUAUUAGGUAUAAAGAAAUGAAUCUGCAGAUAGUCAUAAUUCAAUAAAAAAUGCAAGUGAAAUACGGGAGGAAUUGCAGACUAUAGUGUCAGUGAG
rnacentral:lncRNA from 1 species